CCUACGGGUGGCUGCAGUGGGGAAUAUUGGACAAUGGGGGCAACCCUGAUCCAGCCAUGCCGCGUGUGUGAAGAAGGCCCUCGGGUUGUAAAGCACUUUCAGUGAGGAAGAACGCCUGGUGGUUAAUACCCAUCAGGAAAGACAUCACUCACAGAAGAAGCACCGGCUAACUCCGUGCCAGCAGCCGCGGUAAUAUGGAGGGUGCGAGCGUUAAUCGGAAUUACUGGGCGUAAAGCGCGCGUAGGUGGCUUGAUAAGCCGGUUGUGAAAGCCCCGGGCUCAACCUGGGAACGGCAUCCGGAACUGUCAAGCUAGAGUGCAGGAGAGGAAGGUAGAAUUCCCGGUGUAGCGGUGAAAUGCGUAGAGAUCGGGAGGAAUACCAGUGGCGAAGGCGGCCUUCUGGACUGACACUGACACUGAGGUGCGAAAGCGUGGGUAGCAAACAGGAUUAGAUACCCGUGUAGUC
rnacentral:rRNA from 1 species